CAGUCGCCGCGGUAAAACGUAGGGUGCAAGCGUUAAUCGGAAUUACUGGGCGUAAAGCGUGCGCAGGCGGUUUGUUAAGACAGAUGUGAAAUCCCCGGGCUCAACCUGGGAACUGCAUUUGUGACUGGCAAGCUAGAGUCUGGCAGAGGGGGGUGGAAUUCCGCGUGUAGCAGUGAAAUGCGUAGAUAUGCGAAGGAACAUCAGUGGCGAAGGCGGCCAUCUGGGACAACACUGACGCUGAAGCACGAAAGCGUGGGGAGCAAACAGGAUUAGAUACCCGCGUAGUCCCUGUCUCUUAUAC
rnacentral:rRNA from 1 species